ensembl:lncRNA
UCCCUAUCUGUCGGUCACUACGAGUUAUGUCGAACGACAUAUGGGGUCUCACUUGGGAGGCCAAUCAUCUCUGAGUUUAAGAGAAAACGCCAAUGAAAAUUGGCUAGUGGAUUUAACAUACCUGAGCCACUCCCCGUGCCUACGGGUAUAAAUAGGCGACAGGUGCAUCCACUCAUUCAGAUUUUUGCUUCGGAGCCGAGUAGUUGAUGGGAUAUCACUACAAAGCCGUUUCAUCUUUGUGUUGUGGAGAGCUGUUCCUGGUCGGCGUGACGGCGCACUACAGCGGUGUCCCUGCAGCAGUGAUUCCCCUGGGCGCUUCGGCUAAGAGAGCAGUUCCUAAAAGAGCAAAUCACGGACGAUUCGCGUCUUUUUCAAGAUGCCGUUUCGUCCGUGUCCUUCUGGAUGCGGUCGUUUCCUGUCCGCGGUUGACGGUCACGAGCGUUGUCUGCAGUGCCUGGGCGUCCAACACGCUGAGGCAGCGCUCGUGGAUGACUCAUGCGUCUAUUGUGGGCGUAUGAGCAUGGCAUCGCUGCGAUCGCGUCUCUCACUCCUCAAGGGGAGUGCAGCAGACCCCUCUGCCGCCACCCAUCCCGGUUUCCCUGGCUUGAGCUGGGGACUGCCGGUUGUCGCUCUGGGAGAUCUGAGGGUGACUGUGAGAGCUUCUCCGCCAGGCCAAGCCCCACAGACCUUUCACUCCUCCCGCAGCGCAUGUCCCAUGCGGCUGCUGAUUGAUUCUGCUGGGCUGUCUCGCAGCAGUCUCAGCGUGUCUUUCGGUGCACCGCCCGAAGAUCAGAUGUCGAUUGCAGCAUCAGGGGAUGGGCUAUCGGCCUCUCCACAUGUUUCUGGCCAGUUCCUCUGGGAACACGGGGAGUUUUGCUGUGAUGACUCAGAACACAAUGCUUUCUGGGCCAACCAACAUGAUUUGCCAUCGCUGCACCACCACUGCGGGUACGUCGACUGUCCCUUUGGUGCCACUCUUAUGGAGUUUGGGGGCGUGGCUUGCGCUGCCCAACCUGUCCUGUUGGCUCAUUCGGACGGUUCGACUCAGCUAUGCGAUUAUGUUCGCCCGGCGACCUCCCAAGUUCAAUGGCGUUCUCGAGACUUCGGUGGCAGUCCG